rnacentral:rRNA from 1 species
GAUGAACGCUGGCGGCGUGCCUAAUACAUGCAAGUCGAGCGAACGGACGAGAAGCUUGCUUCUCUGAUGUUAGCGGCGGACGGGUGAGUAACACGUGGAUAACCUACCUAUAAGACUGGGAUAACUUCGGGAAACCGGAGCUAAUACCGGAUAAUAUUUUGAACCGCAUGGUUCAAAAGUGAAAGACGGUCUUGCUGUCACUUAUAGAUGGAUCCGCGCUGCAUUAGCUAGUUGGUAAGGUAACGGCUUACCAAGGCAACGAUGCAUAGCCGACCUGAGAGGGUGAUCGGCCACACUGGAACUGAGACACGGUCCAGACUCCUACGGGAGGCAGCAGUAGGGAAUCUUCCGCAAUGGGCGAAAGCCUGACGGAGCAACGCCGCGUGAGUGAUGAAGGUCUUCGGAUCGUAAAACUCUGUUAUUAGGGAAGAACAUAUGUGUAAGUAACUGUGCACAUCUUGACGGUACCUAAUCAGAAAGCCACGGCUAACUACGUGCCAGCAGCCGCGGUAAUACGUAGGUGGCAAGCGUUAUCCGGAAUUAUUGGGCGUAAAGCGCGCGUAGGCGGUUUUUUAAGUCUGAUGUGAAAGCCCACGGCUCAACCGUGGAGGGUCAUUGGAAACUGGAAAACUUGAGUGCAGAAGAGGAAAGUGGAAUUCCAUGUGUAGCGGUGAAAUGCGCAGAGAUAUGGAGGAACACCAGUGGCGAAGGCGACUUUCUGGUCUGUAACUGACGCUGAUGUGCGAAAGCGUGGGGAUCAAACAGGAUUAGAUACCCUGGUAGUCCACGCCGUAAACGAUGAGUGCUAAGUGUUAGGGGGUUUCCGCCCCUUAGUGCUGCAGCUAACGCAUUAAGCACUCCGCCUGGGGAGUACGACCGCAAGGUUGAAACUCAAAGGAAUUGACGGGGACCCGCACAAGCGGUGGAGCAUGUGGUUUAAUUCGAAGCAACGCGAAGAACCUUACCAAAUCUUGACAUCCUUUGACAACUCUAGAGAUAGAGCCUUCCCCUUCGGGGGACAAAGUGACAGGUGGUGCAUGGUUGUCGUCAGCUCGUGUCGUGAGAUGUUGGGUUAAGUCCCGCAACGAGCGCAACCCCUAUUUUCAGUAGCCAGCAUUUUGGAUGGGCACUCUGGAGAGACUGCCCGGGAUAACCGGGAGGAAGGUGGGGAUGACGUCAAAUCAUCAUGCGCCUUAUGAUCUGGGCUACACACGUGCUACAAUGGCUGUUACAGAGAGAAGCGAAUCCGCGAGGAAGAGCAAACCUCAAAAAGGCAGUCUCAGUUCGGAUUGUAGUCUGCAACUCGACUACAUGAAGCUGGAAUCGCUAGUAAUCGCGAAUCAGAAUGUCGCGGUGAAUACGUUCCCGGGUCU